CAGUUUGGNAGCUAAAUNNCUNNNAAUGCAGCAUUCGUAGNCGACUAGAAGUGNGAUUCNNNACACUGGACUGGNNCCGGCUCCANNNCUNNGGAGGCCAGCAGNNNGGAAUNNUCNNAUUGACGAAANUNUGACNGAGCNACGCCNNGUGAGUGNNGAAGGCCUUCGGUCGUANAGCUCUGGUGUNNGGGANGACNANUAUCGUUCGGAAUAGGGCGGUAUCCUNNACGGUNCNAACCAGAAAGNCCACGGCUUAUCUACGUGCCAGCAGCCGCGGUAAUACGUAGGUGGCNAGCNUUGUCCGGAAUUAUUGGGCGUAAAGCGCGCGCAGGCGGUCUUUUAAGUNUGAUGUGAAAGCCCACGGCUCAACCGYGGAGGGUCAUUGGAAACUGGAGGACUUGAGUGCAGAAGAGGAGAGNGGAAUUCCACGUGUAGCGGUGAAAUGNGUAGAUAUGUGGAGGAACACCAGUGGNGAAGGCGGCUCUCUGGUCUGUAACUGANGCUGAGGCGCGAAAGCGUGGGGAGCAAACAGGAUUAGAUACCNUGGUAGUCCACGCCGUAAACGAUGAGUGCUAGGUGUUGGGGGGUUCCACCCUCAGUGCUGAAGUUAACACAUUAAGCACUCCGCCUGGGGAGUACGACCGCAAGGUUGAAACUCAAAGGAAUUGACGGGGGCCCGCACAAGCAGUGGAGCAUGUGGUUUAAUUCGAAGCAACGCGAAGAACCUUACCAGGUCUUGACAUCCUCUGACAAUCCUGGAGACAGGACGUUCCCCUUCGGGGGACAGAGUGACAGGUGGUGCAUGGUUGUCGUCAGCUCGUGUCGUGAGAUGUUGGGUUAAGUCCCGCAACGAGCGCAACCCUUGAUNUUAGUUGCCAGCAUUUAGUUGGGCACUCUAAGGUGACUGCCGGUGACAAACCGGAGGAAGGUGGGGAUGACGUCAAAUCAUCAUGCCCCUUAUGACCUGGGCUACACACGUGCUACAAUGGACGGUACAAAGGGCAGCAACACCGCGAGGUGAAGCGAAUCCCAUAAAGCCGUUCUCAGUUCGGAUUGCAGGCUGCAACUCGCCUGCAUGAAGCCGGAAUUGCUAGUAAUCGCGGAUCAGCAUGCCGCGGUGAAUACGUUCCCGGGCCUUGUACACACCGCCCGUCACACCACGAGAGUUUGUAACACCCGAAGUCGGUGGGGUAACCUUUAUGGAGCCAGCCGCNNU
rnacentral:rRNA from 1 species